rnacentral:rRNA from 1 species
AGUGAACGCUGGCGGUAGGCCUAACACAUGCAAGUCGAACGGCAGCACAGUAAGAGCUUGCUCUUACGGGUGGCGAGUGGCGGACGGGUGAGGAAUACAUCGGAAUCUACUUUUUCGUGGGGGAUAACGUAGGGAAACUUACGCUAAUACCGCAUACGACCUACGGGUGAAAGCAGGGGAUCUUCGGACCUUGCGCGAUUGAAUGAGCCGAUGUCGGAUUAGCUAGUUGGCGGGGUAAAGGCCCACCAAUGCGACGAUCCGUAGCUGGUCUGAGAGGAUGAUCAGCCACACUGGAACUGAGACACGGUCCAGACUCCUACGGGAGGCAGCAGUGGGGAAUACUGGACAAUGGGCGCAAGCCUGAUCCAGCCAUACCGCGUGGGUGAAGAAGGCCUUCGGGUUGUAAAGCCCUUUUGUUGGGAAAGAAAAGCAGCAGGUUAAUACCCCGCUGUUCUGAAGGUACCCAAAGAAUAAGCACGGGCUAACUUCGUG